rnacentral:rRNA from 1 species
CCUACGGGCCGCACCAGUAGGGAAUCUUCCGCAAUGGACGAAAGUCUGACGGAGCAACGCCGCGUGAGUGAUGAAGGCUUUCGGGUCGUAAAACUCUGUUGUUAGGGAAGAACAAGUGCUAGUUGAAUAAGCUGGCACCUUGACGGUACCUAACCAGAAAGCCACAGCUAACUACGUGCCAGCAGCCGCGGUAAUACGUAGGUGGCAAGCGUUAUCCGGAAUUAUUGGGCGUAAAGCGCGCGCAGGUGGUUUCUUAAGUCUGAUGUGAAAGCCCACGGCUCAACCGUGGAGGGUCAUCGGAAACUGGGAGGCUUGAGUGCAGAAGAGGAAAGUGGAAUUCCAUGUGUAGCGGUGAAAUGCGUAGAGAUAUGGAGGAACACCAGUGGCGAAGGCAACUUUCUGGUCUGUAACUGACACUGAGGCGCGAAAGCGUGGGGAGCAAACAGGAUUAGAUACCCUUGUAGUC